CACGUAGGGCGCAAGCGUUGUCCGGAAUUAUUGGGCGUAAAGAGCUCGUAGGCGGUCUGUUGCGUCUGCUGUGAAAACUCGGGGCUUAACCCCGAGCCUGCAGUGGAUACGGGCAGACUGGAGUACUGCAGGGGAGACUGGAAUUCCUGGUGUAGCGGUGGAAUGCGCAGAUAUCAGGAGGAACACCGGUGGCGAAGGCGGGUCUCUGGGCAGUAACUGACGCUGAGGAGCGAAAGCGUGGGGGAGCGAACAGG
rnacentral:rRNA from 1 species